rnacentral:rRNA from 1 species
UACGUAGGGUGCAAGCGUUAAUCGGAAUUACUGGGCGUAAAGCGUGCGCAGGCGGUGAUGUAAGACAGGUGUGAAAUCCCCGGGCUUAACCUGGGAACUGCAUUUGUGACUGCAUCGCUGGAGUGCGGCAGAGGGGGAUGGAAUUCCGCGUGUAGCAGUGAAAUGCGUAGAGAUGUGGAGGAACACCGAUGGCGAAGGCAGCCUCCUGGGCCGACACUGACGCUCAUGCACGAAAGCGUGGGGAGCAAACAGG